GUAUUAACAAUGUGGCUGAUGAGGAAUCUUAUGAACCAUCAGCCUCGCUGUCAAUACGA
rnacentral:pre_miRNA from 1 species